AUUUGUUCCAGUACUUCUAUGUUUAUUUUUCUACUGUAUAAUGAUAUGGCAGACUAAUAUAUGAAAGCUAUGGAAGGAUCGAUGGAUGUAUGAGGUGACCUGGAUGCAGUUACUGCCUGCAGCAACUGGUAGAGUUGUGCAGGUCACCAAGAUCUGUUUACAUGGAAGAAAUUCAUAGACGAAUUCCCAUUUUUUUCCCUUGCUUGCUAAUUCUUUAAUGGGUCUGAAUCAAAGGACAAAAAAUUAACAUCUUUUUGCAGGUUUUCCUCUGUAGGUACUAGCUGCUGCAGCUUGUUCUUUAAGGGAAGAAGAGAUAUGGGUGGAGCAAUAUUAGAUGAUCAGUUGAUACAACGUAAUGAGUUAAAGUAGUACUGAAGCAGAUGUUCCUCACGGGAAGUGGUGGGUGAUGGCAGCAGUGCAACACAGAGAACAUCAAGGAAAUUAUGAAUGAGGAGUUUGGCGAUGAAAUUCCUGUACUUUCAGCAGCCAAAAAGGAGCACUAUUAGAUCCAUAGACUAUUUGUAGGCCCCUUAAAUCCCAUGCAAGAAGCCUUGUAUCUUAUAUGAUCAGCUUAUCCAUAGCCUCCUAUCAUAAAGCAACUAUAUCGCGUCUAGCAAUUUUGUCCGUACAACAUACUGACUUCUUAUUUAGAGGCACUGCUAUGGCUUAACCAGAUGGAAAGCACCUGCCUAUAUCCCUAGCCUUACGAUUUGGAAGGCAAUUUAGGUUCAAUGGUUUACCAAUGAUGGAACUGCCAUCCCCAUCUCCAACAGCCAGGAAUUUCAAAUCGAGAAACUACAGCUCAUGAAAGCUGAAAAGGAGAGGAUCAGGCAAGAAUAUGAACGGAAAGAGAAGCAAAACAAUGUCGAGAAGAAAGUGUUUAUUUCUUCUUUCGUGAAUAAUACUCAAGUCUAUGUUGGAGGCAAGAGGGAAGGAGCUGCUGUACAUUAGCCGAGAUCACCAUUCAUAUGAGAAUCUUCUUAGGUUACUGUUUUUCAGGAGCUGGGCACUGAUGUUAACUUGUACGCUCUGGUUUUGGAGAAUUUGUUUUGAACAAUUCGGGUUGUUUUUACUUCUCGAGUGCAUGCAAUGGUUGACAAUGUCAUCAGUCAGAAGUGAAGCAGUAGCUGGGGAGAAUUUCUUUAUGAUGGUUUUUUAGUUCCUUGAGACCUUUGUUGGCUCAAUGUCAUCAGCCUUCAAAACAUGGAGUGCUGCGUUUUUGUUCUCUUCCCUUGCUUCUCGUAUAUGUUAGCAUAAGGACUUGGGUUGUCAAGAAUUGUUUCUAUACUAUUCACAGGGAUGGUUAUGAAGCAACUCGCAGCGCUUCAUUUUUGCCUUCUUUCACUUACUGUCAUCUCUAGCGGAAACAUUCGUCUUCAUUUAUGUGGGCUUUGAUAUUGCCAUGGAAGAACAUAUGUGGGUUUCAUAUUCUUCUCAAUUAUAUUUAUAAUACUUGCAACGUACUGUCAGGAGCCCUUAUUCAAAUAUAAUACUUAAUUGGCAGCCAAAGCCAUAUUAUUGUCUAGAUUUGCACAAUUAUGUCUUCUCUAUGGUAAAAGCAUGUAACAGUAGGAUGUAUAUGAAAGGUGUAUCGCCUAACUACAAGGGAAAAUGGAAGGUUCCAUGGAUUGAUAAUCCAGAAUUUGAGGAUGACCCAGACCUAUACAUGCUGAAACCUUCUUGCUGAUUAAUAGGGCUGCGAUGCGGCUGAGGCAGGUAGGAUGGUGAUGUGGUCGUUGGCCCCAGUCAUGGAGCUGGCGCGCCUCGCCAUCGACUCCAACGGUGACCCCGCUUCCAUCCACCGUGCGCUUGACCUCACCAUGCUGCUGUUGACCAUUCAUUUACCUCGAUCUUCUUAGCGUCUAUCUUGUGAAAAUAUGUGAAGGUGCGUGAUAUUCAUGAGGCGAACAAGAACAAAUGCUAGCUACAAGAACACCAUAUGGGAGGCGCUCUGCUAACAAGCUAUAGAUUUUUACUCUAGAUGUGCAUGAAAGAUAUGAAAUCCUUUACUUUUCGGUUGACAUUGUUCAUAUCACAUCUUUGCGUUGUCCAACAGGACAUCAAUUCAUACUUGGCGUUUUUGUUGGAAUUGAUUGUGGUACAAGGACCAUUAGUGGGAUUAAUUGUAUCUAUUAGUCGAUAUGAUCUCUUCCACGGGCACCUCUUCCUUGCUUCUGGGACAGGAAGGCUUGGAAUUCUGGGGGAGGAAUAUUGGAAACAAGGGGGAUGACACGUGCCCCAAAGCAAGUUCCUUUGAAGUUGGGAUGACCCAAGACUCUGAUGGUCAAUUUCGUGAUGUAAUAAAUGCAUAUUUGGAGCCAAAAUGUCAAUGGCCUUAUUCGGAAGCUGUGCAGAGUAUGCGCUCUCCGUUUUUUUGUCGUCGCUUUUGGGUGAUUCAUGGGGAAAUGAUAUUAGGCAGCUGCUAAAUGGUUUUGUGCCAAUGAUUUGUUUCUUCUAUCUCCUUAAGAUCUGCACAGGAGCAUCGGGUGUCCGGGGCAACCAAGCUAAGGCUGGGAGGCUAGGGGAGUAGGAGGGAGAGCGAUGGCUCGGUCAUGAUCCCCUAGCCUCUGCUAUGGUUGGUUGUUGGUUUGGGCAUUGGGCGCCAGAAUCCGUCGGCGGCGAUCAACCUGUGUUGGGUGGAGUGGAGGUGGAUUGGUUUCCCUGUUUGGUUACGUGACAUCCCUGCCAUAGAGUUCCGAACUGACAAUG